AAGUCGUAACAAGGUUUCCGUAGGUGAACCUGCGGAAGGAUCAUUAAUGAAAUGAAGUUUUUUUGGGUUUAUCCUAAAAAAAUAAUUCACCUUUUGUGCACUGUUAUUUAUAUAUACUUUGGUUAGAGCUUUGAUUUCAUUUUUUGAAGUCAACUUCUUGCUGACUCUCUAUCCUUUUUAAAGGACAGUUGGCUAUGAAGCGGCCUACCAAGGUUUUUUAUCAAACUCUUGUAUUUGUCUGACCUGUAAACAAAUAAUUAAAUCAUAACUUUCAACAACGGAUCUCUUGGCUCUC
rnacentral:misc_RNA from 1 species